rnacentral:tRNA from 1 species
CCGAGAAUAGCUCAGUUGGUAGAGCGGGAGACUGUAGUUAAGAAAGUUAUCUCUAGGUCCCUGGUUCAAAUCCGGGUUCUCGGA